rnacentral:sRNA from 1 species
CCGUAGCCAUUUUGAGCCAAA